AGACCAAAUAUGCAGCCUAGCUGACUGCUCAACCCAGGAGGCCCUGGACUGACCUAGGAGAUGCCUGGGAUUCCUGAGGCUGCCAUGGGUUUCAGAUUCCUGUGUUGUGUGGUCCUUUGUCUUCUGGAAGCAGGUCCAGGGAAUGCUGGCAUCACUCAGAUCCCUGUGUCCCAGGUCCUAAAAACAGGCCAGCACAUGACACUGAGCUGUGUCCAGCAGCUGAAUCACGACCGCAUGUACUGGUACCGACAGGAUCCAGGACUGGGGCUGAGGCUCAUCUACUACUCAUAUGAUACUAACAUCACUGAAAAAGGGGAAUUCUCUGAUGGUUACAGUGUGUCCAGACCAAGUAGAGAGAACUUCCUCCUCACUAUACAGUCGGCCAACCCCUCCCAGACAUCUGUGUACUUCUGUGCCACCAGUGAUUACACAGUGCUACACAGCUGCCCCUGGUCUGCACAAUAA